rnacentral:lncRNA from 1 species
GUGGGCCCUGCGGCUCCAAGCCCUCAGGGCCCAGUCACACUUCCGGCUGGGUCCCCACUGCUGUCUGGCUGUCGGCACAGAGCACCUUGGGGAAUCUUUUGCAUUGCAUCUUAUUUGGUUGUCUUUUCUAUGCAGUAAUGAUGGAGACGGAAGUGCUGCUGGAGAGGCAGUGGGGAGUGAACGUCGCGUCUGAGAGUACAUGGUCUAAGCCAGAGGGUCUCCAAGGGGGGCCCCGGGGCCAGCGGCAUCAGCAACUACUGUGAACAUGGGAGAAAUGCAGAUUCUCAGGGCCCCCUCCAAACACGCUGCUUUUGGUGCACCGUCAAGGGUGAGAAGCUCUGGUCUAAGAAAGUCGUGCACGGGUGGAAGAAACUCGUCCAGAGGGUUCCCCAGGGAGCCGAGGAUCACACCGCAAAGCAGAAACCAGGUCUGCCUUGGACGGAGGACCUCCAGCCUCUUCACCCCGAGCCCCACUGCCAGCUACCAGCUCCCUGGCCCCUCUAGUGACUUUGGGCAGCAUUUUCUCUGCUCAGUGGUCACUUUGUUGCCAUAAAUCAAUAAGCCACCCACAGAUGGAAAAAGCUCCCAGAUUUAUGCAUGUCUCACCCCCCUGCCUAGAAAAUGGUCCCCUUUGUCCUUCUUAAAACCCUCCUGGCUUCCCAUUGCAUCUGGGGGGAAACCCACCUGGAACUGAAUCUGAACAAAACUGCCCGUUACCUCGCCCUGACCCCUGAAUCAGUUCAGCUUAUUUUGGUCUCAAGCAGCUACUUUAAGCCAAAAAAAAAAAAAAAGCUGGAGGGGUGGUUUGAUGGAUUCUUGGGAGGCUGCAGAGGCAUCUCACAGAUGGAAAGGACACGGAGUUGAAGAAAGCUCAAUGUG